CCUACGGUGGGCAGCAGUGGGGAAUAUUGGACAAUGGGCGAAAGCCUGAUCCAGCCAUGCCGCGUGUGUGAAGAAGGCCUUCGGGUUGUAAAGCACUUUCAGUGGGGAAGAAAGCCUUGGGGCUAAUACCCUCGAGGAAGGACAUCACCCACAGAAGAAGCACCGGCUAACUACGUGCCAGCAGCCGCGGUAAUACGGAGGGUGCGAGCGUUAAUCGGAAUUACUGGGCGUAAAGCGCGCGUAGGCGGUCUGGUAAGCCGGUUGUGAAAGCCCCGGGCUCAACCUGGGAACGGCAUCCGGAACUGUCAGGCUAGAGUGCAGGAGAGGAAGGUAGAAUUCCCGGUGUAGCGGUGAAAUGCGUAGAGAUCGGGAGGAAUACCAGUGGCGAAGGCGGCCUCCUGGACUGGCACUGACGCUGAGGUGCGAAAGCGUGGGUAGCAAACAGGAUUAGAUACCCCGGUAGUC
rnacentral:rRNA from 1 species